rnacentral:rRNA from 3 species
CGAGAGCUUUGAAAAGGGCCUUCGAAC